rnacentral:lncRNA from 1 species
CUGCUAUUCGUUGUCCAGAUGAGCUUUUUAAAUGAAGCUGCUAUAGAUCCUUCUCCACAACACUAGAGGGAAAUGGAUCAAGAAAUUUAGGAUGAUUAUUUCAAGGGACAAAAUCAUAAUGAGUUUAGUAUGUAACCCAAAUCCUGGAUUGCUAUAUAACAGUUAUUGGUUGUGA